rnacentral:rRNA from 1 species
AACCAACAGGGAUUGCCUCAGUAACGGCGAGUGAAGCGGCAAAAGCUCAAAUUUUAAAGCUGACAUCUUCGGUGUCCGCGUUGUAAUUUUGUGAGGCAUCUCCGGGUAGGGCGCCAGCCUAAGUUCCUUGGAACAGGACGUCACAGAGGGUGAGAAUCCCGUGCUUGGCUGGCUGUCCCCGUCCACGUGAGGUGUCUUCGACGAGUCGAGUUGUUUGGGAAUGCAGCUCAAAAUGGGUGGUAAAUUUCAUCUAAAGCUAAAUAUUGGUGGGAGACCGAUAGCGCACAAGUAGAGUGAUCGAAAGAUGAAAAGCACUUUGAAAAUAGAGUUAAAAAGUACGUGAAAUUGUUGAAAGGGAAGCGCUUGAGACCAGACUUCGGUAGGGGGUGAUCAGCCGUCCUUCUGGGCGGUGCACUUGCCCCCCUCCGGGCCAGCAUCGGUUGAGGCGGCGGGAUAAAGGUCCCGGGAAUGUGGCUCCUUCACGGGAGUGUUAUAGCCCGGGUGAAUGCCGCCAGCCUCGACCGAGGACCGCGCCCGCAAGGGUUAGGAUGCUUG